UUCUAAAGGAGGGGCUUAAUAAAAACAGGAACUCAUUGGAGCGCUACAGAGAAGAUUCGCAUGGCCCAUGCGAAAGGAUUACAUACAAAUUUAUGAAGCAGUCGAUAUUAAACAUUUUU
rnacentral:snRNA from 1 species